GAUGAAGAACGCAGCGAAAUGCGAUAACUAAUGUGAAUUGCAGAAUUCAGUGAAUCAUCGAGUCUUUGAACGCACAUUGCGCCCCCUGGUAUUCCGGGGGGCAUGCCUGUCCGAGCGUCAUUGCUGCCCUCAAGCACGGCUUGUGUGUUGGGCUCCGUUCCCCCGGGGACGGGCCCGAAAGGCAGCGGCGGCACCGAGUCCGGUCCUCGAGCGUAUGGGGCUUUGUCACCCGCUCUGUAGGCCCGGCCGGCGCCAGCCGACAACCCAUCAUCCUUUUCAGGUUGACCUCGGAUCAGGUAGGGAUACCCGCUGAACUUAAGCAUAUCAAUAAGCGGAGGA
rnacentral:misc_RNA from 1 species